CACUGGGGUGAAGUCGUAACAAGGUAACCGUAGGGGAACCUGCGGUUGGAUCACCUCCUUA
rnacentral:rRNA from 1 species